UUGUGUAUUUUGUUUCGUUCUUUUUGUUCUCUAACUCUGGAACCAAAGUACUCACUCCGGUACAGUAGGUGGCGGUAUGCACCUAAAACGUUGGUUGCGACCCGCCAUAAACAAGAAGAAGAAGAAGCUAACAAUGGAGGAGCGUUACUUGAGUUUUAUUCAAUAAGUUUUAUUCAAGACGUUUUUAUUCAAGAAGAGGGCAGCGAGAUUGUGGGGAAGACUGAGAAAAUAAAUAGUAUAAUAUUACACCGUCCAGAGCUAAAGCACAGCAAGGUAAGCUAGUGUUAGCAUGUUAGUUUUUGUCAUUCCCAGCUGUGUGUCCCGCAAAGUUGUCGUGUCGAUUAUAUAAACAUGAUUAAACCUGCUAGCGCAACCUCCCAAGAGGGAUUAAAGUCGUCUAAUCGGUAUUAGUAUUAAUUAUUAUUGCCUUGUAUUAUCUGCUGUUACUAUGGCGUCAUUGUAUUGUGAGUCCAGAGAUGAUUGACAGCUGGAGAGCUCUGCCGGAGGCUCAACACUACGGGAUGGCUGCCAUGGGUAAUUUUCUAUUGGCAGGUGUGUGAUGGCUGCGAUUAAAUCUGGGGCUUUAGUUCGUGCCAUCCACAUUAUUGUGCUGGGAUUCCCCGAGUCCCCGGAUCCUCUGUCACAUUCUGUCAUUCCAGCUUUGGGCCCCCGCCCCCCUGGGUCCCUGACGCCCCAUACAUCCCUCCAUUAAAGCAUGGAGCAGUGCCUGCAUGUUAGCUAAGGAGGCCUCUGGUUCAAGCUUGCUUAAUCACACACACACACACACAGACAUCUCAUCAAGGUUGUCAGCGCUGUGCAGACCUGACAGUGGCUGGCCGAGGUGUUUAUUUACUCAACUGCAGAGAGUAUCAAGAAACUCAUGAGAUGCCAAGAAAUGAUGCUGAGAAGCAGCCCGCAUUUGUCUACCUGUCAACUGUGAUGACCCGCUGACAUGCACUCUUGUAACUUAAUACCGCGCGGUGACCUCCUGCAGCCAGCGGCCUUCUGUCACACCGCAGUGGAGAAACCGUGUGUCCCCCGGCUUCCUAGUCAAGAGCCGUGCUCUCAGUGUCUAAAUGCAGCGGCGAGCACGUGGAGAUGCUGACCUCCACGCAGCUUGUGAAAGAUGGAGCCUGUCUUUUAUCAGUCCCCAUUAAAAGGGGACAGGCGUCCGUUGGGUUUGUCCUGCUAGAGGGCGGCCGCAUUAAUCUCCAUGAGUGAGCGCUAGCAGGUGUUAACCUAUGUCACAGCUAAUCGCCAUGGCAACAGACUCGUGACACCUGGAGGUAUCUGUGACGUCCCAUGUACAAAAAAAAAACACAUUAUUGGGACUUGAUUGUUGCUGUUACAAUAACACUAUGAUAACAAUAAGACAGGCUAGCAUACAUUUAUUUAUCGCUUUUAUAUAAGUACAUUUCCGUGAAGUAGGAUUAUUCAUUCAUUUUUACCGCUUUUCCUCACUGGACUGGUCGCCAGCCAAUAUAUAUACAUAUAGACAAACAACCAUUCACACUCACAUUCAUACCUAUGGACAAUUUGGAGUCGCUAAUUAACCUAGCAUGUUUUUGGAAUGUGGAAGGAAACCGGAGUACCCGGAGAAGACCCACUCAUGCACGGGGAGAACAUGCAAACUCCACACAGAGACGGCCGAUGGUGGAAUCGAACCCUGGUCUCCUAGCUGUGAGGGGUAGUCAGCAAAUUACAUUGCGGACACUAAUCCCGUGGUCAUGUAUGGAUGCGGCGGUAAAGCAGAUCUGUUUCCCAGAGGUAUGUGCUGCGGAGAGAGCCAAAGCAAGAGGAAGCCCACCUUCCUGAUAACAAUGGCCCUCCACAGACCUCCAGCCAAGGUCCCAGCCAGUCAUGAAACACCGUGGAGAUGUUAUUGACCUGGAGGUUAACUCUCCUCAGAAUGAGGAUCUUUAUACCGCAGCGGAGAUAAAUCUUUCACUGUCAGAGGAUGACGACUCCUUCUGGAGGGUGAAGAUCAGAGAAAGAGAUUAGCGGCUAUUACGCUCUCUGUGCCAGAAAUGACGCCAGAGUUACUCUUUUGCCCCCGCGCCGAAGCCGAGGCGGAGGCGGCGGGGUGCAUGCUUCACUCCACUUGUUCCAUCUCGUUGCAUCGUGACUUUUCAGUCCGUCCACCUCGUCGGCCUCACGCUUCUUCUCCCUGGGGUGCAGGUAGAGGUAGUACAAAAGCAAAAACACCAACCCAAGCAAGGAGCCUCCAAAAAUGACCCCGGUGAUGGCGAGAAAGAACAUGGCCGUCUGCAGCUCAGGUAUCAACAAAACCAAUAGUAUCGGUGUUGUCAUAUU